UGCCCUAGUAACGGCGAGUGAAGCGGCAACAGCUCAAAUUUGAAAUCUGGCUUCGGCCCGAGUUGUAAUUUGUAGAGGAUGCUUUUGGUGCGGUGCCUUCUGAGUUCCCUGGAACGGGACGCCUUAGAGGGUGAGAGCCCCGUAAAGUUGGACACCAAGCCUAUGUAAAGCUCCUUCGACGAGUCGAGUAGUUUGGGAAUGCUGCUCAAAAUGGGAGGUAAAUUUCUUCUAAAGCUAAAUACCGGCCAGAGACCGAUAGCGCACAAGUAGAGUGAUCGAAAGAUGAAAAGCACUUUGAAAAGAGGGUUAAAAAGUACGUGAAAUUGUUGAAAGGGAAGCGCUCAUGACCAGACUUGUGCCCUGCGGAUCAUCCAGCCUUCUGGCUGGUGCACUUCGCUUGGUUCAGGCCAGCAUCGGUUCUCCGGGGGGGAUAAAAGCUUCAGGAACGUAGCUCCCUCGGGAGCAUUAUAGCCUGUUGCAUAAUACCCUCUAGGGGACCGAGGUUCGCGCAUCUGCAAGGAUGCUGGCGUAAUGGUCAUCAGCGACCCGUCUUGAAACACGGACCAAGGAGUCAAGCAUUAGUGCGAGUGUUUGGGUGUAAAACCCGCACGCGUAAUGAAAGUGAACGUAGGUGAGAGCUUCGGCGCAUCAUCGACCGAUCCUGAUGUCUUCGGAUGGAUUUGAGUAGGAGCAUUAACGCUUGGACCCGAAAGAUGGUGAACUAUGCUUGGAUAGGGUGAAGCCAGAGGAAACUCUGGUGGAGGCUCGCAGCGGUUCUGACGUGCAAAUCGAUCGUCAAAUCUGAGCAUGGGGGCGAAAGACUAAUCGAACCAUCUAGUAGCUGGUUACCGCCGAAGUUUCCCUCAGGAUAGCAGUGUUGUUUUCAGUUUUAUGAGGUAAAGCGAAUGAUUAGGGACUCGGGGGCGCUAUUUAGCCUUCAUCCAUUCUCAAACUUUAAAUAUGUAAGAAGCCCUUGUUACUUAAUUGAACGUGGGC
rnacentral:rRNA from 1 species